CACAUAAUUUUUGUUCACAAUUGUGAAUGAAAUCUUAUCGUUGACACGUAUAAAGUAAAAAUUUCAAAGUGCUUGAUCCAAAGUUGACAAUGAAAAAUUUCUUGACCUCAGUUUGUGUGUUCGUGUUGGUUUUUGGAGUUGAUUCCUUAAUUCGUGUGGAAAAUACACUACCAAAGCCGAACUCAUUUCCUGCGCUAAUACUAAGAAAAUUAAUACUUUUGCCCGAGCUGGCAAUUCCGUAUGAAGUAGUACAGAAAGAAGAUGUAAAACGGAAAGAAGUCGUUAAAAAGUUCAAGUUUGAAUUGUUUGACGUGAACAUUGAAGCCGUGAAUAAUUUCAGCAUUAUUUAUAUGUGUCCGAAAAACGAUACGUCGUUGAAAUUGAAGUUGAGCAAAACACCGGAAUGUGAAAGUGAACUUCGUGUGACAACUUUUAUCAAUGGUCAUCAUUGUGGCAGUAAAAAUAGAAAAAUAUACAGAAUUGGUUAUGGAAUGAAGAUAAAACGUACGAUAUUUCCAGUAUUUCCACCAGCA